UGGGGAAUAUUGCACAAUGGGCGCAAGCCUGAUGCAGCAACGCCGCGUGAGGGACGACGGCCUUCGGGUUGUAAACCUCUUUUAGCAGGGAAGAAGCGAAAGUGACGGUACCUGCAGAAGAAGCGCCGGCUAACUACGUGCCAGCAGCCGCGGUAAUACGUAGGGCGCAAGCGUUGUCCGGAAUUAUUGGGCGUAACGAGCUCGUAGGCGGCUUGUCGCGUCUGCUGUGAAAGCCCGGGGCUUAACUCCGGGUGUGCAGUGGGUACGGGCAGGCUAGAGUGCAGUAGGUGUAACCGGAAUUCCUGGUGUAGCGGUGAAAUGCGCAGAUAUCAGGAGGAACAACGAUGUCGAAGGCAGGUUAUUGUGCUGUUACUGACGCUGAGGAGCGAAAGCAUGGGGAGCGAACA
rnacentral:rRNA from 1 species